UACGUAGGGGGCAAGCGUUGUCCGGAUUCAUUGGGCGUAAAGAGCGUGUAGGCGGCCAGGUAGGUCGGUUGUGAAAACUGGAGGCUCAACCUUCAGAGGUCGACCGAAACCAUCUGGCUAGAGUCCGGGAGAGGAGAGUGGAAGUUCCUGGUGUAGCGGUGAAAUGCGCAGAUAUCAGGAAGAACACCCGUGGCGAAAGCGGCUCUCUGGAAACGGUACUGACGCUGAGACGCGAAAGCGUGGGAGCGAACAGG
rnacentral:rRNA from 1 species